rnacentral:rRNA from 1 species
UACGAAGGGGGCUAGCGUUGUUCGGAAUUACUGGGCGUAAAGCGCGCGCAGGCGGCUAUCCAAGUCAGUGGUGAAAGCCCGGAGCUCAACUCCGGAACUGCCAUUGAAACUGUUUAGCUUGAAUAUGAGAGAGGUGAGUGGAAUUCCCAGUGUAGAGGUGAAAUUCGUAGAUAUUGGGAAGAACACCGGUGGCGAAGGCGGCUCACUGGCUCAUUACUGACGCUCAGGCGCGACAGCGUGGGGAUCAAACAGG